GAUGAACGCUAGCUACAGGCUUAACACAUGCAAGUCGAGGGGUAACGAGAGGGAGGCUUGCUCUCCUUGUCGACGACCGGCGCACGGGUGAGUAACGCGUAUCCAACCUGCCCCCAACUAAGGAAUAACCUUGCGAAAGUAAGACUAAUACCCUAUAAUUUCCUCAGAUGACAUCUGACGAGGAAUAAAGAUUUAUCGGUUGUGGAUGGGGAUGCGUCUGAUUAGCUUGUUGGCGGGGUAACGGCCCACCAAGGCAACGAUCAGUAGGGGUUCUGAGAGGAAGGUCCCCCACAUUGGAACUGAGACCAGGUCCAAACUCCUACGGGAGGCAGCAGUGAGGAAUAUUGGUCAAUGGGCGGAAGCCUGAACCAGCCAAGUAGCGUGCAGGAUGACGGCCCUAUGGGUUGUAAACUGCUUUUAUACAGGAAUAAAGUUAGCCACGUGUGGUUAUUUGUAGGUACUGUAUGAAUAAGGACCGGCUAAUUCCGUGCCAGCCGCCGCGGUAA
rnacentral:rRNA from 1 species